GUCUAUAGCCAUACCACCCUGAACGCACCCGAUCUCGUCUGAUCUUGAAAGCUAAGCAGGGUUGCUCCUGGUUAGUACUUGGAUGGGAGAUUGGUAGAGAGAUUAAUCAGAAGUCU
ensembl:rRNA 5S_rRNA 5S ribosomal RNA